rnacentral:rRNA from 1 species
CUCCGGGAAACCGGAGCUAAUACCGGAUAGUUCCUUGAACCGCAUGGUUCAAGGAUGAAAGACGGUUUCGGCUGUCACUUACAGAUGGACCCGCGGCGCAUUAGCUAGUUGGUGAGGUAACGGCUCACCAAGGCGACGAUGCGUAGCCGACCUGAGAGGGUGAUCGGCCACACUGGGACUGAGACACGGCCCAGACUCCUACGGGAGGCAGCAGUAGGGAAUCUUCCGCAAUGGACGAAAGUCUGACGGAGCAACGCCGCGUGAGUGAUGAAGGUUUUCGGAUCGUAAAGCUCUGUUGUUAGGGAAGAACAAGUGCAAGAGUAACUGCUUGCACCUUGACGGUACCUAAACCAGAAAGCCACGGGCUAACUACGUGCCAGCAGCCGCGGGUAAUACGUAGGUGGCAAGCGUUGUCCGGAAUUAUUGGGCGUAAAGGGCUCGCAGGCGGUUUUCUUAAGUCUGAUGUGAAAGCCCCCGGGCUCAACCGGGGAGGGUCAUUGGAAACUGGGAAACUUGAGUGCAGAAGAGGAGAGUGGAAUUCCACGUGUAGCGGGUGAAAUGCGUAGAGAUGUGGAGGAACACCAGUGGGCGAAAGCGACUCUCUGGUCUGUAACUGACGCUGAGGAGCGUAAGCGUGGGGGAGCGAACAGGAUUAGAUACCCUGGUAGUCCACGCCGUAAACGAUGAGUGCUAAGUGUUAGGGGGUUUCCGCCCCUUAGUGCUGCAGCUAACGCAUUAAGCACUCCGCCCUGGGGAGUACGGUCGCAAGACUGAAACUCAAAGGAAUUGACGGGGGCCCGCACAAGCGGUGGAGCAUGUGGUUUUAAUUCGAAGCAACGCGAAGAACCUUACCAGGUCUUGACAUCCUUCUGACAACCCUAAAAGAUAGGCUUCCCUUCGGACAGGAGUGACAAGGUGGUUGCAUGCUUGUCCGUUCAGCCUUCGUGUCUGGAGAUGUUGAGUUAGUUCCGCACGAGCGCACCCUUGUAUUCUUUAGUUGG